CCUACGGGAGGCAGCAGUGAGGAAUAUUGGUCAAUGGGCGCGAGCCUGAACCAGCCAAGUAGCGUGAAGGAUGACUGCCCUACGGGUUGUAAACUUCUUUUAUAAAGGAAUAAAGUGAGGCACGUGUGCCUUUUUGUAUGUACUUUAUGAAUAAGGAACGGGGAACUCAGUGCCAGCGGCCGCGGUAAUACGGAGGAUCCGAGCGUUAACCGGAUUUAUUGGGUUUAAAGGGAGCGUAGAUGGGUUGUUAAGUCAGUUGUGAAAGGUUGCGGCUCAACCGUAAAAUUGCAAUUGAUACUGGCAGUCUUGAGUACAGUUGAGGUAAGCGGAAUUCGUGGUGUAGCGGUGAAAUGCUUAGAUAUCACGAAGAACUCCGAUUGCGAAGGCAGCUUACUAAACUGCCACUGACAUUGAUGCUCGAAAGUGUGGGUAGCAAACAGGAUUAGAUACCCCAGUAGUC
rnacentral:rRNA from 1 species